AUGGUGUGGGAAAAGUUUUUACUCUUAUGUUAUGGAUGUAUGAUUUUGUCUCAAGCGACUGAGAAUCAGAGUACCGAACCAAAUUUAGCUUGGGAGUUGAUACAAGGAUUUAUGCAUAUUUGGAAUCACACAAAUCAAGGAAUAUGUGUCAACCUUCCCAACUCUGCAUCAGAGGGGUUUAGAUUUAUGAUGAUUUGGUUAAAUUUUUCGGAACUAUUAACGAGAGAACUGGAUAAUCUUAAAAAAACAGGAGGAAAUGUUACCUGGGGAAUGGUGGAAUCCCAGUUCCUAGACCAGAAAGAAGGACAACAAUGGGAUGCAAAUGGGACAUGGGUAGAAUACAAGAACGCCUUUUACCAGCUCCCACGUGAUUCUACCUGGAGCCAUUUAUGGAAUCAGACAUGCUAUCGGUCAUUAGACACCAAUCCUACCGAGACAUUGCAAAAUGUCACUUCUAUCCCUUGCACUGUGGUACCGUGGUGGGAUUCUCCUGCUGAGGGUGGGUUUUUUGAACAUGAGUACAAUUUACACUGGGAUGCAGGAUGGUGUAUACAAAUCCCUGAUAACCCAGGAACCGCGCACCAAGUUAACCGAACAAAUUAUGAGUGGGCCUGGUCUCUGAAGCAAAUCUUUGACCCUGUAUCUACCCUACAGUGGGCUUCCAGGGUCCCCACGGGGAAAAUAGUAGAAUGGGAAGUGGAGAAAUCAGACUGUAAGGACCAUCAGACCAUACUACCUAACGGAGAGAGCAUCUGCUGGAAAGUGAGGAACCGUAGAAGCAUUACCCAAAGUAAAUCAGAGACCUCCUUUCUGAAUUGUUCCCGUAUAUUAGAUUGUACCACAGGAGCAGGUGAGCCUAUAGAAACCUGGUACAUCUCAGAGCUGAGAACUUUUAUCCGGGACAUGUGUACCUGUUGGGAUUAUCCCAACUAUGGCUAUCUAAACCAAGACACCCGGUGCAAUGGGUCUUAUGAGAAUUCGGAGACAGCACUAUCCUGCGGCAUUCCCAUUACGCAUGGCCCUGACCAAAGGAGGGUCUGGAAUUCAAGCAGCGAAGCACAGGAAGUUCCCCAAGGUGACCUGUAUCAAUGUUCACAAGCCCAAUAUCCAGCUCCACGGGGAACGGUAUGGGCAUGUUCAGAUGGGAAAAUGUAUUCCCACUUGAACAUGUAUGAUAUGGCUGGACUCCAGUGUACUAUUGGGUUUCCUACCAUGUGUCCAUCUAAAACGUUCAAUUAUACACUUUAUCGUAACUCCAAAGCGCGGAGAGAAGUCCACGAUCCAACAGAUGCAAAAGGGUGGAUUCGGGGGAUUCAAGUCCCUGACUAUUAUGCCUGGGGACAAAAUGUUGCUUUAGACUUAGAAUCAUUUUUUGUGUCCAGUGGAGUUAUCCAACAGCACAAGUAUGUCUUGGAGAACUUAACUAGGCAAGUCCAUGUGUUAAGCAACUGGACCGGACGUUCACUCAGGGAACCAAAUGUGCAGGCCCAGCAGGCAUCAAAAAUGGCUUUGCAGAACCGAUUAGCCCUAGAUAUGUUGUUGUUGAAAGAGAAUGGAGUGUGUGGGAUGCUAAAGCUAAUGGAUGGAGAAUGCUGUGUCACUGUCCAUAACGCCACCACCACCAUAGAAGAGGCACGUCAGAAGAUGAAGGAGAUUGCUGAACAAAUGGGAGAACUGUUUCAAGCAAUGGAACCAAAGGACUAG
ensembl:lncRNA